rnacentral:rRNA from 1 species
AAAAACAUGUCUGUGUGAAUUAGUUAUAAAGUCUAGCCUGCCCACUGAUUUUUUAAAGGGCCGCGGUAAUUUGACCGUGCGAAGGUAGCAUAGUCAGUAGUCUUUUAAUUGGAGGCUUGAAUGAAAGGUUGGACGAGGGACGAGCUGUCUCCUUUACGUUUUUGAAUUUAACUUUUGAGUGAAAAGGCUUAAAUUAUUUAGUGGGACGAUAAGACCCUAUAAAACUUAAUAUAAGUUUUGCUUGAUUUAUGAUGUGUGUGAAAAGUAGUUUUGUUUGGUUUAUAUUUUGUUGGGGAGAUAUAGAUAUAAUUUGUAACUGUCUAUUUAAUUUAAUAGUUAUUGUUAGUGUGUGAUCCUUCUUUGUGGAUUAAAAGAAUAAGUUACUUUAGGGAUAACAGCGUGAUUUUCUUUGAGAGUUCUUAUCGACAAGAGUAGUUGCGACCUCGAUGUUGAAUUAAAGUUUCAGCUAGGUGUAGCCGUUUAGCUGGUAGGUCUGUUCGACCUUUAAAAUUUUACAUGAUCUGAG